rnacentral:rRNA from 1 species
CAUGCAAGUCGAGCGGUAACAGGCGGCAAUACGUGCUGACGAGCGGCGAACGGGUGAGCAAUGCUUCGGAAUCUGCCCUUUAGUGGGGAAUAACCAGCCGAAAGGUUGGCUAAUACCGCAUACGCCCUUCGGGGGAAAGCGGGGGACCGUAAGGCCUCGCGCUAUUGGAUGAGCCGAAGUCGGAUUAGCUAGUUGGUAGGGUAACGGCCUACCAAGGCGACGAUCCGUAGCUGGUCUGAGAGGACGACCAGCCACACUGGGACUGAGACACGGCCCAGACUCCUACGGGAGGCAGCAGUGGGGAAUAUUGGACAAUGGGGGCAACCCUGAUCCAGCGACGCCGCGUGUGUGAAGAAGGCCUGCGGGUUGUAAAGCACUUUUAGUGGGGAUGAAAAGCUCAGGGAUAACACCUCUGGGUCUUGACCUAACCCACAGAAAAAGCACCGGCUAACUCUGUGCCAGCAGCCGCGGUAAUACAGAGGGUGCAAGCGUUAAUCGGAAUUACUGGGCGUAAAGCGUGCGUAGACGGUUACAUAAGUCGGGUGUGAAAGCCCCGGGCUCAACCUGGGAAUUGCAUUCGAGACUGCGUAGCUNGGGUGCGGAAGAGGGAAGUGGAAUUUCCGGUGUAGCGGUGAAAUGCGUAGAUAUCGGAAGGAACAUCAGUGGCGAAAGCGACUUCCUGGUCCAGCACCGACGUUCA